GGGGAUUUAGCUUAGUGGUAGAGUGCUUGCCUAGCAAGCGCCCGGCCCUGAGUCCAGUCCCCA
rnacentral:tRNA from 1 species